rnacentral:lncRNA from 1 species
CAAAAAUUAAAAAAUAAAAAUAAGGGGAAGGUAGGGUGGCCAUCAUGAUGGUCAAGCAGUGACAGGCUGGGGCCAGGGUGACAGUUGGCAGUUGGAAUGGGGGAACUGUGAGGAAUCUGAGAAGGUUGGAAGUCAGCCCUGACCAGAGGGGAUGGGAUGUGAGAGACGGAUGUCAGGUGGCAUGAGGCAAGGGAAGAAUUUCAGAGGCAGGAAGAAAGUACACAUAAUAGCUCCCUGAGCAGAAACAGAAAUGGGAAGGGAAUAUGAUCUGAGAGAGAGUUUCAUCUGCCUUUACAAUGCCGGAGGCAGAGAUUGGCACACAAGGACAGGGUCUUGUCUUCUGGUAGCUUGUCUAAUACAGGACACAGGCAAGCUCACAAGAAACUGCCUCGUAGGGCUGAGUGAAAUUUGCUGAUAGAGCUGCAGAAUCACAUUCCUCAAAGACAGGAAGGAGCUUAACGGAGAGGCCUGAUGGGAUUUGGAGAGCUGCCUGUUUCCUCUGCACUGCAGGAUGGGAUUGAGCGUGCCCCUGGCUGAGGAAGGAGGGCACAAGGACGCUGCGGCCGACAGGCCAGUUUCCAUAGGCAAGCCGUGGCUCAGCUGGCUCUUCCGCUCCAAGUCUCACAAGGCUGCAAUCAAGGUGUCAGCCUGGGCUACAGUGUGAUCUGAGACUCAGGUCUUCUUCCAAGCACAGGUGGUUGUCUGCAGAAUUCAUUUCUCUGCCGCUAUAGAACUCAUGGUGGCUCGUUUCCAGGCCAACAGGAGAGCUUCUCUUCUGCUUCAAGAGCUUAAAAUUCUUCUUAUCAUGCCCAUUUUUGUAUUGGGUGGUUUGUCUUCUUACUGAGUUGGAUGAGUACUUUAUAAAUUCUAGGUACAAGCCCUAUGCAGAUGUACAUAUUGCAAAUAUUUUCUCCCAGGCCAUAACUUGCCAUUUCAUUUUCUUAAUGGAGUGUUGGGAGAAGAGAAAUGUUUGAUUUAAAUGAAGUCUAACUUCUCAACUUUUUUUUUGUAUGGUUCAUGCUUCUUAUUCUUAUACAAGAAACAUUUGCCUAUCCAAAGGCUACAAUAUUUUCUCCUAUAUUUUCUUCUAGAAGUUUGAUAACCUUAGCCUUAUAUUUAGUUCUAUGACCCAUUUUAAGUCAACUUUUCUGUAUGACGUGAGAUAAGAGUUGAGAUUCAAUUUUCCCCCCAAAUUGAUAUCCCAUUUUUACCACACUAUCGGUUGAAAACACCAUUUCCCCUGUUGGCACCUUAACUGAAAAAAAUAAAUUGACCAUACAUAAGUGGAUCUAAUUCUAGAUGCUUUAUUGUUGUAUUAGUUUACAUUUCUCUACUUAUAUCUACAAUAAUUAUGUGAUUGCUCCAUGUUUAUAUUAAGUCUUUCAAUAAAUUAUAUCCUUCAGCUUUUUGUUCUUUUCCAAAAUUGUUUGAGCUAUUCUAUGGCACAAAGGUCAUAUUUUAUAUAAAUUUCAGCUUGCCAACUUCUAAAAGAAAACAAGCCUGCUAGGUUUGCACAGAAUACAUAACUCAAUUGGGGAAGAAAUGCCAUUUAAUGAUAUUGAAUUUUCCGAUUCAUAAAUCCAGUAUAUAUCUCCAUUUU